rnacentral:lncRNA from 1 species
GAGGAUCUGGAGGUUAUGGCGGCAGUGGAUUUGGAGGAGGACAUGGAGGUUUCGGUGGAGGAUUUGGCGGCGGUCACGGAGGAUUCGGAGGUGGACACGGAGGAUUCGGAGGUGGUCAUGGAGGAUUUGGAGGUGGACAUGGAGGACGAUAUGGAAAGUAAACUAUUCGACGAUCUAUCAGCACAGAGGAUUGUAUAUAGAAGAAUGUCUUCCUUUUUUCAUAUUAAAGUAUAAAUU